rnacentral:rRNA from 1 species
UACAGAGGGUGCAAGCGUUGUUCGGAAUUACUGGGCGUAAAGCGUGCGUAGUCGGUAUUGAGAGUCACGGGUGAAAUCCCAGGGCUUAACCCUGGAACUGCCUGUGAGACCUCAGUACUAGAGUGUGAGAGGGGAUAGUGGAAUACCCAGUGUAGCGGUGAAAUGCGUAGAUAUUCGGAAGAACACCAGUGGCGAAGGCGACUUACUGGACACAUAUUGACGCUGAGGUGCGAAAGCGUGGGGAGCAAACAGG